UACGGAGGGUGCAAGCGUUAAUCGGAAUUACUGGGCGUAAAGCGCGCGUAGGCGGCUUGUCAAGCCGGAUGUGAAAGCCCCGGGCUCAACCUGGGAAUGGCACCCGGAACUGGCAGGCUAGAGUACAGUAGAGGUGAGCGGAAUUUCCUGUGUAGCGGUGAAAUGCGUAGAUAUAGGAAGGAACAUCAGUGGCGAAGGCGGCUCACUGGACUGAUACUGACGCUGAGGUGCGAAAGCGUGGGGAGCAAACAGG
rnacentral:ncRNA from 2 species